UCAAAAAAUUUAAAUCAUCAAUUUUAUCAUCCUCACGAACUAACGUAGCAGUUAACCCAAGCUUUGUGUGAGCGGCAAUUGUGGUGACAACUCGCCGAAACAUGGCAGCAGGAACCACAUGUACUUCGUCUAAUAGGAUAAACCCCCAUUCACGUCCCGUAAGAAAAUCCAUCAUUUUUUGAGAAUCAUAGGAUCUAUUCCUGGUAUUGGCAACCAUUGAGUACGUGGAGACAACCACACCUGCUUCGCUGUGAAACCGUUCUUUGUGAUCAGCAGUAAAAACCGCAAUGUGAUCAGGCUUGAUGUUGCUCCACUGUAAAAAUUGUUGACGCCAUUGCAUUACCGAAACAGAACUGGUGCAAAGCACGAUUACUGAUUUUUUGAUAGUACAAGCCGCUGUGAUACCAACCAAGGUUUUACCAGCUCCACAUGGUAAUACAAUAAUUCCACUUCGAGCUCUACCAUUUCCAAACAUUUUACUAAGACUCUUUUCUUGGUAUGGACGAAUUUGAGUGCUUGGCUUAAGGUCUAUAGGAAGAUCUGGAUUGAUGUUGUCAUUACGAAAAUCGUACUCUUCCAAUAAGGGAUAAUCAAUCUCUGCACAUCUCUUCUUGAUAGUUUCCACUGAAGAGUGCUUAAUUUCGAAAAGAUGAACGGCAUCUUCAUCAUCUUCCUCUUCCUGUAAGCCUACUACUGCCGAAAACAGUUCAUCAGAUGAACUUUUCUCAGCAGUUUCUUUUGAGGAAUCAUUGGUGAUAUCUUUUUUGUCUUCCACAUUAUCUUCAUUGGAAGGCUUUGAAGACUUCUGCUUGCUAGACUGGGUAGAAUAAUCGAUUCGAAGAGGGCCUAUGACAGGAUCUCUUAAUAACAGUCGUAAAACACUUGCAUCUCCACUUUCAAUAAAAUAUCUGUUUUUCUUCAAGACCAGUUUGACCUUACCGUAAGAGACAGUACAAGCGCGGAUAAAGUCUACGAUAGAAGGAGGAAUUGGGGUUUUUGAAAGUCUAUCAAGGACUGCUAUUAUAUCUUCAGUUUUUAACCCAACGCUAACAGCAGCAUAAAGUGAAUAUGCAGUAAUUCUAUACUCAUGAAUGAAAGCGGGUCGAGAAACUGGCUCUGAAAUUGUUACCAAGAAGUCGAUAGCUUGCUCAGCCAAUGGGCUGAAUGCUUCAAGGAUAAUUCUACCAUCAAUUGGAUUAAUCCAAAGUGGCCUAGCCGUAUGAUCCAAUUUUAAACCUAGUAAAUUAGAAAAAUCGUUUUGGCCAAACAUAGCAGAAAUCCCAGAUUGGCGGGCUUCAUUGCUAUUAGUCGUGGUUUGUGCUUUAGUUUUAUUGUUGUUUAUACGAAUCCUGGGUGCAGGCUUGUAAGAAUCAUCAUCCUCUUCACCGUAAUUGUCAACAUCGCUGUAAUCGCUAUAUUCUUCUAAAUCCUCGUCAGGUGUCCCUUCCCUUGCAUUAUUUUUUCUCUUUAGGCU